UCUUUGUUAGUAUAUCGGUUAGUACACGCGCUUGUCAUCAUACAUAUCAGGUGCGCGCGAAAGCUGGGUUCGACUCCCAGACAGAGAG